rnacentral:rRNA from 1 species
GAUUCGUCACACUAUCAUUAACUGAAUCCAUAGGUUAAUGAGGCGAACCGGGGGAACUGAAACAUCUAAGUACCCCGAGGAAAAGAAAUCAACCGAGAUUCCCCCAGUAGCGGCGAGCGAACGGGGAGGAGCCCAGAGCCUGAAUCAGCAUGUGUGUUAGUGGAAGCGUCUGGAAAGGUGCGCGAUACAGGGUGACAGCCCCGUACACAAAAGCGCAUGUGCUGUGAGCUCGAUGAGUAGGGCGGGACACGUGGUAUCCUGUCUGAAUAUGGGGGGACCAUCCUCCAAGGCUAAAUACUCCUGACUGACCGAUAGUGAACCAGUACCGUGAGGGAAAGGCGAAAAGAACCCCGGCGAGGGGAGUGAAAAAGAACCUGAAACCGUGUACGUACAAGCAGUGGGAGCACAGGUUUACCUGUGUGACUGCGUACCUUUUGUAUAAUGGGUCAGCGACUUAUAUUCUGUAGCAAGGUUAACCGUAUAGGGGAGCCGGAGGGAAACCGAGUCUUAAUUGGGCGUUAAGUUGCAGGGUAUAGACCCGAAACCCGGUGAUCUAGCCAUGGGCAGGUUGAAGGUUGGGUAACACUAACUGGAGGACCGAACCGACUAAUGUUGAAAAAUUAGCGGAUGACCUGUGGCUGGGGGUGAAAGGCCAAUCAAACCGGGAGAUAGCUGGUUCUCCCCGAAAGCUAUUUAGGUAGCGCCUCGUGAAUUCAUCUCCGGGGGUAGAGCACUGUUUCGGCUAGGGGGCCAUCCCGGCUUACCAACCCGAUGCAAACUGCGAAUACCGGAGAAUGUUAUCACGGGAGACACACGGCGGGUGCUAACGUCCGUCGUGAAGAGGGAAACAACCCAGACCGCCAGCUAAGGUCCCAAAGUCAUGGUUAAGUGGGAAACGAUGUGGGAAGGCCCAGACAGCCAGGAUGUUGGCUUAGAAGCAGCCAUCAUUUAAAGAAAGCGUAAUAGCUCACUGGUCGAGUCGGCCUGCGCGGAAGAUGUAACGGGGCUAAACCAUGCACCGAAGCUGCGGCAGCGAACGUAUCACCCAAGACAACUUUACGGAGUUGACGAUUGACGGAGCGAAGCGACGUCAAAGCGUUCAUUAAAGUCGAGUUGGCUUAGGGAUACGUUCGUUGGGUAGGGGAGCGUUCUGUAAGCCUGUGAAGGUGUGUCGUGAGGCAUGCUGGAGGUAUCAGAAGUGCGAAUGCUGACAUAAGUAACGAUAAAGCGGGUGAAAAGCCCGCUCGCCGGAAGACCAAGGGUUCCUGUCCAACGUUAAUCGGGGCAGGGUGAGUCGACCCCUAAGGCGAGGCCGAAAGGCGUAGUCGAUGGGAAACGGGUUAAUAUUCCCGUACUUGGUGUUACUGCGAAGGGGGGACGGAGAAGGCUAUGUUGGCCGGGCGACGGUUGUCCCGGUUUAAGCGUGUAGGUGUGUGUUCCAGGUAAAUCCGGUUCACUUUAACACUGAGGCGUGACGACGAGGCACUACGGUGCUGAAGCAACAAAUGCCCUGCUUCCAGGAAAAGCCUCUAAGCAUCAGGUAACAUCAAAUCGUACCCCAAACCGACACAGGUGGUCAGGUAGAGAAUACCAAGGCGCUUGAGAGAACUCGGGUGAAGGAACUAGGCAAAAUGGUGCCGUAACUUCGGGAGAAGGCACGCUGACACGUAGGUGAAGUGAUUUACUCAUGGAGCUGAAGUCAGUCGAAGAUACCAGCUGGCUGCAACUGUUUAUUAAAAACACAGCACUGUGCAAACACGAAAGUGGACGUAUACGGUGUGACGCCUGCCCGGUGCCGGAAGGUUAAUUGAUGGGGUCAGCGCAAGCGAAGCUCCUGAUCGAAGCCCCGGUAAACGGCGGCCGUAACUAUAACGGUCCUAAGGUAGCGAAAUUCCUUGUCGGGUAAGUUCCGACCUGCACGAAUGGCGUAAUGAUGGCCAGGCUGUCUCCACCCGAGACUCAGUGAAAUUGAACUCGCUGUGAAGAUGCAGUGUACCCGCGGCAAGACGGAAAGACCCCGUGAACCUUUACUAUAGCUUGACACUGAACAUUGAGCCUUGAUGUGUAGGAUAGGUGGGAGGCUUUGAAGUGUGGACGCCAGUCUGCAUGGAGCCGACCUUGAAAUACCACCCUUUAAUGUUUGAUGUUCUAACGUGGACCCGUAAUCCGGGUUGCGGACAGUGUCUGGUGGGUAGUUUGACUGGGGCGGUCUCCUCCUAAAGAGUAACGGAGGAGCACGAAGGUUGGCUAAUCCUGGUCGGACAUCAGGAGGUUAGUGCAAUGGCAUAAGCCAGCUUGACUGCGAGCGUGACGGCGCGAGCAGGUGCGAAAGCAGGUCAUAGUGAUCCGGUGGUUCUGAAUGGAAGGGCCAUCGCUCAACGGAUAAAAGGUACUCCGGGGAUAACAGGCUGAUACCGCCCAAGAGUUCAUAUCGACGGCGGUGUUUGGCACCUCGAUGUCGGCUCAUCACAUCCUGGGGCUGAAGUAGGUCCCAAGGGUAUGGCUGUUCGCCAUUUAAAGUGGUACGCGAGCUGGGUUUAGAACGUCGUGAGACAGUUCGGUCCCUAUCUGCCGUGGGCGCUGGAGAACUGAGGGGGGCUGCUCCUAGUACGAGAGGACCGGAGUGGACGCAUCACUGGUGUUCGGGUUGUCAUGCCAAUGGCACUGCCCGGUAGCUAAAUGCGGAAGAGAUAAGUGCUGAAAGCAUCUAAGCACGAAACUUGCCCCGA